rnacentral:rRNA from 1 species
UACGUAGGGUGCAAGCGUUGUCCGGAAUUACUGGGCGUAAAGCGCGCGUAGGCGGCUUGUUAAGUCGGAUGUGAAAUCCCUGGGCUCAACCUAGGCAUUGCAUUCGAUACUGGCAAGCUAGAGUAUGGGAGAGGAAGGUAGAAUUCCAGGUGUAGCGGUGAAAUGCGUAGAGAUCUGGAGGAACACCGAUGGCGAAGGCAGCCCCCUGGGUCAACACUGACGCUCAUGCACGAAAGCGUGGGGAGCAAACAGG